rnacentral:snoRNA from 1 species
AAUCCAUGGUGAGGGCAUUCUCUGCAAUAGUCAUUAUAACGCUCCCAUGCGUCGGAAAAAAGCUCAUUAGUGAGCUGUCUGAAAGAGGUGAUCUUGUUCCUCAAUGC